AAUGAACGCUGGCGGCAUGCCUAACACAUGCAAGUCGAACGACAGCUUCGGGUCUAGUGGCGCACGGGUGCGUAACGCGUGGGAAGCGGCCCUUAGGUUUGGAAUAAUUCUCUGACGGGGGUGCUAAUACCGGAUAAUGUACUCGGACCCAAGAUAUAUCUCCCUUGGAUGGGCCCGGGUUGGUUUGGCUUGGUGGUAGGGUAAGAGCCUAUGAAGGCGUAGUUCCAUAGCUGGUUUCAGAGGAUGAGCCGCCACACUGAGAGUGGGACACGGCCGAGACUCCUACGGAAUGGAGCAGUGGGUAAUAUUGGACUAUGGGGGGAAGCCUGAUCGAGCAAUGCCGGGUGAGUGAUUAAGGCGUUAGAGUUGUAAAGCUCUUUUACCCGGGAUGAUAAUGACAGUACCGGGAGAAUAAGCUCCGGCUAACUCCGUG
rnacentral:rRNA from 1 species